AUACCUUUCUCGGCCUUUUGGCUAAGAUCAAGUGUAGUAUCUGUUCUUAUCAGUUUAAUAUCUGAUACGUGGGCCAAUGGCUCACAUGAUAUUAACUCAAUUUUUUUAGGGGAAAGACCUGUUAAGGCAGCUUGCUGCCUGGGCCUUUGAGCAUCGCCUUGGUUUUGCACUAUAGCCCUGGCCUGGUACACCCCAC
rnacentral:snRNA from 1 species